GCAGUCGUACGUCAGUGACUGUAGUCGACGUAGUACGUCGUACUGACACGGGUGAGUAACACGUGGGUAACCUGCCCAUAAGACUGGGAUAACUCCGGGAAACCGGGGCUAAUACCGGAUAACAUUUUGAACCGCAUGGUUCGAAAUUGAAAGGCGGCUUCGGCUGUCACUUAUGGAUGGACCCGCGUCGCAUUAGCUAGUUGGUGAGGUAACGGCUCACCAAGGCAACGAUGCGUAGCCGACCUGAGAGGGUGAUCGGCCACACUGGGACUGAGACACGGCCCAGACUCCUACGGGAGGCAGCAGUAGGGAAUCUUCCGCACAAUGGACGAAAGUCUGACGGAGCAACGCCGCGUGAGUGAUGAAGGCUUUCGGGUCGUAAAACUCUGUUGUUAGGGAAGAACAAGCAUGCUAGUUGAAUAAGCUGGCACCUUGACGGUACCUAACCAGAAAGCCACGGCUAACUACGUGCCAGCACAGCCGCGGUAAUACGUAGGUGGCAAGCGUUAUCCGGAAUUAUUGGGCGUAAAGCGCGCGCACAGGUGGUUUCUCAUAAGUCUGAUGUGAAAGCCCACGGCUCAACCGUGGAGGGUCAUUGGAAACUGGGAGACCAUUGAGUGCAGAACAGAGGAAAGUGGAAUUCCAUGUGUAGCGGUGAAAUGCGUAGAGAUAUGGAGGAACACCAACGUGGCGAAGGCGCACUUUCUGGUCUGUAACUGACACUGAGGCGCGAAAGCGUGGGGAGCAAACAGGAUUAGACAUACCCUGGUAGCAUCCACGCCGUAAACGAUGAGUGCUAAGUGUUAGAGGGUUUCCGCCCUUUAGUGCUGAACAGUUAACGCAUUACAAGCACUCCGCCUGGGGAGUACGGCCGCAAGGCUGAAACUCAAAGGAAUUGACGGGGGCCACCGCACAAGCGGUGCAGAGCAUGUGGUUUAAUUCGAAGCAACGCGAAGAACCUUACCAGGUCUUGACAUCCUCUGACAACCCUACAGAGAUAGGGCUUCUCCUUCGGGAGCAGAGUGACAGGUGGUGCAUGGUUGUCGUCAGCUCACGUGUCGUGAGACAUGUUGGGUUAAGUCCCGCAACGAGCGCAACCCUUGAUCUUAGUUGCCAUCAUUAAGUUCAGGGCACUCUAAGACGUGACUGCCGGUGACAAACCGGAGGAAGGUGGGGAUGACGUCAAAUCAUCAUGCCCCUCAUAUGACCUGACGGCUACACACGUGCUACAAUGGACGGUACAAAGAGCUGCAAGACCGCGAGGUGGAGCUACAAUCUCAUACAAACCGUUCUCAGUUCGGAUUGUAGGCUGCAACUCGCCUACAUGAAGCUGGAAUCGCUAAGUAAUCGCGGAUCAGCAUGCCGCGGUGAAUACAGUACGUACGUACGUGUACUACGUACGUCGCAGUACGU
rnacentral:rRNA from 1 species